AUGGGGUAACAUCAUAGUGAUUUCGGUCCUAUUGCGGUUGGCCUUCGGGAUCGGAGUAAUGAUUAAGAGGGACAGUCGGGGGCAUUCGUAUUCCGUAGUCAGAGGUGAAAUUCUUGGAUUUAUGGAAGACGGACAACUGCGAAAGCAUUUGCCAAGGAUGUUUUCAUUGAUCAAGAACGAAAGUUGGGGGCUCGAAGACGAUCAGAUACCG
rnacentral:rRNA from 1 species